CAAAGGCAAAAGGUGCGGCUGUAGCAAAGACAUCAAGUUAGUGAACACAGCACCAGGGUGGACCCCAUCAGCACCGAUGGAGGCCUUGGCAGUUCAUGGCACCGCUGCAUCAUUGACCAUUUGCCAUCCAUCAUGGUGGUGUGUGAACUCAAACUGGAUUCUCUGGAGGCCCUGGAAAACUCAGAUGUUUCUGGAUUCCAGAGGCUGACUUUCUUCUGGGGGCACCGAGAGCCCCGUGCUCCGCAGCACCAAGACUGACCACUCUUCGGACCAUGUCCCAGGGGCCCCUGGAAGCUUCCCAGUCCCCGGAGGGAUGGUAUGCCAUCAGCACCGAUCCGGCCUUUAGCAGCGGCCCAGAGCUUGGCGAGAGACAGCCGGACACCUCCCCACCCCUUCAGAAAGAGCUUCUUCGUGGGGAUCUGUGAUGCCUCCUCCUGGGAGCCCCAAGAGAGGGAAGGUGCGUUCCCCAGAGAAGGCGGAAGAAGGCAGGCAGGGAUGGAGGCGGCUUGCAGAGAGCCGGAGUGCUUUGAUUUGGGGAAAGGGCCAGGGGCGUAGGAAGAGGGGGACGGCAGCUAUGGGGGAGGGGACGGAGAGGGGGACGGGUGUGGUGGGCGAGGGG